rnacentral:rRNA from 1 species
GGGGAAUCUUGCACAAUGGGGGCAACCCUGAUGCAGCGACGCCGCGUGAGCGAUGAAGCCCUUCGGGGCGUAAAGCUCUUUCGACCGGAACGAUAAUGACGGUACCGGGAGAAGAAGCUGCGGCUAACUACGUGCCAGCAGCCGCGGUAAUACGUAGGCAGCAAGCGUUGUUCGGCGUUACUGGGCGUAAAGAGUGCGUAGGCGGUUUUCUAAGUUCGGUGUGAAAUCUCCCGGCUUAACUGGGAGGGUGCGCCGAAGACUGGGAAGGUGGAGUGUGGGAAAGGCAGGCGGAAUUCCUGGUGUAGCAGUGAAAUGCGUAGAUAUCAGGAGGAACACCGGCGGUGUAGACGGCUUGCUAGACCAUAACUGACGCUGAGGCACGAAAGCGUGGGUAGC